CCUAACACAUGCAAGUGGAGGGGUAACGAUGGCUUCGGCCAGGCGACGACCGGCGCACGGGUGAGUAUCGCGUUUGUAACCUACCUCUAACUGGAGAAUAGCCCGAAGAAAUUCGGAUUAAUACUCCAUAAUGCUAUGAUUCGGCAUCAUUUUAUAGUUAAAGCUCCGGCGGUUAGAGAUGGGCAUGCGUGACAUUAGUUUGUUGGUGAGGUAAUGGCUCACCAAGACCACGAUGUCUAGGGGGUCUGAGAGGAUGGUCCCCCACACUGGUACUGAGACACGGACCAGACUCCUACGGGAGGCAGCAGUGAGGAAUAUUGGUCAAUGGGCGAAAGCCUGAACCAGCCAUGCCGCGUGAAGGAUGACAGCCCUACGGGUUGUAAACUUCUUUUGUACGGGAAGAAACACUUCUACGUGUAGAAGCUUGACGGUACCGUACGAAUAAGCAUCGGCUAACUCCGUGCCAGCAGCCGCGGUAAUACGGAGGAUGCAAGCGUUAUCCGGAUUUAUUGGGUUUAAAGGGUACGUAGGCGGAAAAUUAAGUCAGUGGUGAAAUCCUGCAGCUUAACUGUAGAACUGUCAUUGAUACUGGUUUUCUUGAAUAUAGUUGAGGUAGGCGGAAUGUGUAAUGUAGCGGUGAAAUGCUUAGAUAUUACACAGAACACCGAUUGCGAAGGCAGCUUACUAAACUAUGAUUGACGCUGAGGUACGAAAGCGUGGGGAGCGAACAGGAUUAGAUACCCUGGUAGUCCACGCUGUAAACGAUGAUCACUCGUUGUUGGCGAUAUACUGUCAGCGACCGAGCGAAAGCAUUA
rnacentral:rRNA from 1 species